rnacentral:rRNA from 1 species
GUGUUAGGGGGUUUCCGCCCCUCAGUGCUGCAGCUAACGCAUUAAGCACUCCGCCUGGGGAGUACGGUCGCAAGACUGAAACUCAAAGGAAUUGACGGGGGCCCGCACAAGCGGUGGAGCAUGUGGUUUAAUUCGAAGCAACGCGAAGAACCUUACCAGGUCUUGACAUCCUCUGACAAUCCUAGAGAUAGGACUGUCCCCUUCGGGGGCAGAGUGACAGGUGGUGCAUGGUGUCGUCAGCUCGU